GGAAAAUCAACCGUAGUCCCAGGCUGCCAUGCAAAGACAAUUAUUGGUAACAUUUUGUCUAUAUUCAUCCGGUUUUGUUUUUUGCAAAGACGGACAUUUUUAAAGAAAAGUCAUUUGCUACUUUAACAAUUUCCUGAAAUCAUUAUGCUUUUUGGAAGGUAUCACAUGUGGGAUAGGGAGUUGCAAACGUGGAAAAAGAGUGACUUGCCUGGAUUGAUAGCAUCAUGGUCUCUAAGACCCACGAGAAAAAUUCUUACCCUCGGAGUCAAAGGCAGAGGGAACAGCUGGCACAAACUCUCAUGUAGGCAGCACCGAAGCUCCACCAGGGAAGCCACAUGAGGUUGUGACUUUCCCUUGGAGUAUGUCUGGACAGAGAGACCAAGGAUGAAUAGAAGGCCAAAAAGGGGACGGGGACCCUAAGAAAAUGACAAAGCUGGACAUCUCUUUGGAAAGAAGAGAAGUUCCGGGCAGACCUUUGGCGCUGAGCCUCGUAGCAACAGCCUGCUCCUUGGCUCAACUGGUGGAAACAAGUUGCCGAAGAUGAAGGAAGAUAGAGAAGAAGUUGCUGGGUGCUUAUCUCCUCCCACAUAGGUGGACAGGUUGAGUGUCCCACUGGGAUGAGAACUGAAAACGAAGCCAAUGAUCCACAAGUACAGGGAGCCUGGACCUGAAGAUGAGACUCUGUGUUUACCUAACGUGAGGCAGUGGCUUUAAUGUCACGUAGUUCUCUCUCCCUGGAGAUCAGUGACCUUGCCACCUUUGCGGUAGGUUCUUCAGGGCAAAUGUGAGGGAGCCUCAGCCUAGACUCCGCCUUGAAGACUGCUUGCACGUGCUCAUUACCAACGGAUGCUCCAGAGAUUUUAAGAAAUCAGGGCUGAGGGAAGAUGCCUGCCUAACCCGUCCCUCACACUGCUGCAUAUCCUUGGGAAGGAAAAGAGAAAGUCACUGUAGAGAUAUUCCAAGAAAAACGGACUUAAUUUUGAAUAGAGCAACUGAAUUCAAGUGAAGAGUAAGGACGAAGCGAAUUGCUGCCACUCCCCAUCCAGCAAGAACGAGCAGAAACGUGUGCCGGAGUCUACCAGGAGGUCUCUCCUGGCAGGUAAGCCCCAGAAAAGUCAUCCAAGUGUCCUGUAGACUCACCCUCUGUUCCAACAACUAUUUUCAUGUGUGCUGAAACAUCCGUUCACAGCAAACGUCAAUUUAGUCCUGAAGGGGAGCAUCAGUUGCCAAGAAAGCAUAGUGUGCAGGCUCCGGGGUCGUGUGGACAGGACGUGGGCGAGCCCGGCUCUUUCCCUUGGACACCGGAAACCCUGUGUGACCG
ensembl:lncRNA